GAUGAACGCUGGCGGCGUGCCUAAUACAUGCAAGUCGAGCGAACAGACGAGGAGCUUGCUCCUUUGACGUUAGCGGCGGACGGGUGAGUAACACGUAGGUAACCUACCUAUAAGACUGGGAUAACUUCGGGAAACCGGAGCUAAUACCGGAUAAUAUUUCGAACCGCAUGGUUCGAUAGUGAAAGAUGGCUUUGCUAUCACUUAUAGAUGGACCUGCGCCGUAUUAGCUAGUUGGUAAGGUAACGGCUUACCAAGGCAACGGUACGUAGCCGACCUGAGAGGGUGAUCGGCCACACUGGAACUGAGACACGGUCCAGACUCCUACGGGAGGCAGCAGUAGGGAAUCUUCCGCAAUGGGCGAAAGCCUGACGGAGCAACGCCGCGUGAGUGAUGAAGGUCUUCGGAUCGUAAAACUCUGUUAUUAGGGAAGAACAAACGUGUAAGUAACUGUGCACGUCUUGACGGUACCUAAUCAGAAAGCCACGGCUAACUACGUG
rnacentral:rRNA from 1 species